GGAACGAGGAAUGCAUUUGUUUUAUAAUGGUGUUUAUUUUUAUUUUUAUUUUCUGUGAACAACUUUUCUACCAGUACCUAAUUCUGCACUGAUUUACAAUGGUGGCUCUUUUUCAGAAAAGAAAUCUGACUGGGGUGGUACUUUAAGCAGGUCAUUUUUUAAUUUUCAUUUUUUAAGCAACCCAGCACUAGAAUAGUUAAUCUCAAAAUAAAAAUAAUUGAUAAAAUUAUUUUUUUAAUCUACAGUUAGUUUUAAUCUGAGUUAUUUUAACUGGACAUUUAAUGACGAUUGAUAAAAUGGCCCUAAGUAGAUAGUGUAUACUACUUAAUAAUAUUAUUCGUGUCAUUCUAUUCGACGCGUCGGUUCAUA